GUUGUAUAUUCUUCGUUGUGGGUCCUUCUAGUUGUGGCAUGUGGGAUGCCGCCUCAGUGUGGUCUGAUGAGCAGUGCCAUGUCCGCGCCCAGGACUCGAACCAACGAAACACUGGGCUGCCUGCAGCAGAGUGCGCGAACUUAACUGCUCGGCCACGGGGCCAGCCCCUCAUUUAUCUUUUUUACAAACCAUUAUUGAUCGUUUGUGAAUUAUCUGUUGGAGUGUCCUGCCUGUAUUUCCCCAGGAAUGUCAGUUUAUGUCUCGACUGUCCUCAUCACCGAAUCUUCAGAAGAGUUUUGGGGCGUCCUGCAAACAUACAUGGGCAGGGGCGGUCGGUGGGAGGCAGUGUGGGGGCUUAUUUAGAAGGGGGUGUCUGGGAUCCCAGUACUGGUUUCUAACCACCGUUCUCUUGCUUACCAGCUCUGAAACACAGCCAGAGAGGUGCUCCCUAAAAUUCUGUUUCCACCAGUAAACUGGGUCUAACAGGAGUGCAUACCUGUCUCCUGGGCUAGAGUCAGCAAAUUCUGAAUGGACAGGAGAUAGUAAAUAUUUUUGGCUCUGCAGGACAUCUGUUCUCUGUUGCAGCCACCCACCUCUGCCGUUUUGGUUCUAAAGCAGCCACAGACACGUAAACGGAUGAGCGUGGCUGUGUUCCAACGCACUUUAUUCCAUGACACUGAAGUUCGAAUUUCAUGUAAUUUUCCCAUCACAAAAUCUCCUUCUUUUGCUUUUAGUUUUUUUUCCAGCCACUUAAUAAUGUAAAAACCAUUCUUAGCUCACAGGUGGGGUUCGGCCCAUGGACUGCAGUGUGCAUCUGACCCCUCAUUCAGGGUCUUGGGCCGAUUGAAUGAGCAGAUGUUUGCAAGUAACUUGGCCUGUUGCUUGACACAGACUAAGUGCUUAGCAUAUAUCAUUAUCAUUAUCAUCAUCAUUAUUAUUAUUAUACGAACACGAUUUUGUAAUGUACUGUCCGAGUUGUCAUUUUUUAAAUGAGGGCUAAUUCUCACCUCACAUACUUGCUGGAGCGUGACUAGGAUGAUCAAUCUAAUUUGUGUGGACUCUAGGAAGAGUCAAAAUUUAGAGACCUUGAAUGCCACAUUGAAAAUAUCUGGGCUUCCUAGACAUGUCACCCUAAGGAGGACAGGGUUUUACUUAUGUGGCAUCCAGUCGGGGAAUGGUUCAUUUAAAUCUCAUCAUGAGGAAACAUCAGACAAACCCAAAUGAGGAAAGUUCCAUUUAAAAGAAAAAAAUGGACUCUACAAAAAAAAGUCAAUGUCAUAAAAGAUAAAGAAAGGUUGUAGGAAUGUUCCAGAUUAAAGGAAACCAAAGAGACACAGCAACUAAAUGCAAUCUGUGAUCUACUACGUCCUGUACUAGAAGGAAGAAAUCUGCAAUAAGGGACUUUAUUGGGUCAAUUGACGAUAUUGGAAUUCAGACGGUAGAUUAGAUAAAAGUAUUGAAUCAGUGUUAAAUUUAGUGAAGAGGAUAACUGGACAGUGGUGACAUAAAAACACCUCUUAUUCUCAGAAAUACACACUGAACUAUUAAAGGUAAAAGGCCGUGAUGUAUACGACAUACUCUAAAGUGGUUCUGGAAAAUAAUUGUGUGGUGUGUCUGAAUAUUUACAUAGAGCAAAUGAUAACAUAAAAUGUUAGCAAUAGGUAAAUCUGAGUAAAGCGUAUACAGG
ensembl:lncRNA